rnacentral:lncRNA from 1 species
UUCCCCACGGCAACUGUGCAGAGAGGCUUGCAGGUCCAAACCACUGGUAGCAGCCCCUGGUAUAUCCAGGACAUCAGCACAUAGAACCAGUGAAAGGGUCCUCCCUCAUAGUGACGCAUGUCAUAGACUCAGAUUUAUACAAACAAAUGCUGAGCAAACCAUGAAGAGUCUCUGGUAUUUUCAACAAUAUCAUCACAGAGGAACUGUAUUGAUUUCCUUGCACGUUCAGGGUACUGGGAGAGGCAACAGGGAUGGAGGUCCCAUCACAGUGAGUCUCUGAGACCUAGUUUUGGCAGAAGGAAGUACCAGAGGGAGCUGAGCUGUUGAACAUUAUGUGCGAUCAUGUAAUAACUGCAAUCGGAAGGGAAACACUCAGAGUCCUGGAGAAAGAGAAAUUCGCAUUUGUGGACGCCUGCUGGGAGCUAGGCACUUUCGAAUAGUUCCUGUCACCUAACUUAAGUAUCAUUACUCAAGUACUAAUUAACUUAGGUAUUAUGCAGAGAAGUCGAAUAAUUAGAAAAGUGGCAUGACUUAUACAAGGCAACACUUCAGUGGUCCAAGAACCUGCUGCUCCCGGGUCCUCUCAUUUGAAGACACCCACCGCCUAAGGAUGAAGAGAAGCUCCUUCUUGCAGAUCUGAGGCUGAUUUCCCAACUCCCAGGAACACCCUACCCACAGCCUGUUCCCCAGACCCAGGAAUUCUUGACCAAGACUACAAAUGUAGCCCAUUUGACAUCGAAAACAUUGGGACAGGUGUGAGAGUGAGGAAAAUGGGGAGAAAAAAGAACUUUGAAGACAAGGAUUUGAAGUUAGCAUGAAGCAUGGAAAGGAGGAAGGGCAAGCUUUCUGCAGUGAGGACAGUGCCUGCCAGAGAAAACCAGAUCCUGGGGAGGGGUUUCUCCAGAAAGAGAAAGUCAAAGCUGCAGGUAGGCUCUGGAGACAAGGAGCUCGCAUGCAGUGAAGGUGGCGGCCACAUUGAGAAAUCACUCCAGGCUGAAGGACAUGCACCAAAGGCGGGAGGGGUGGCACCAUGGACAGAGCUUCGGAUGGGUGCAGGUGGGGCUGGGGUUUGCAGGAGCAAUGGCUGUAGGGACACUAAGAUUUCACCCUCCAGAAGACAGCAUCUUCCUGUGCCAUGGCUAGAUCACCAGCUACCCACAGACAGCCUGAACUCCAAUUGUCUUCCUGCACAUGUGCCUUUAAAGGUUUUACUGGCAUUAUUGCUUUUUUACUUCUGGAACUUUUCAAAUGUAGAGGAGCCUUUAGAAGGAAGCCUUGAGCAUGAGGACAGACCCCCCUCAUCCAACCACCACCUGACUCUGUGUGAACCUGGAACUGUUAGGAUGUCUGUGCUGUGAUAAAAGGUCAUCUCCCUACAAUGUUAUGAUACAGACCUCAAACCUACAAACAUGAGGAACUUCUGCCUCCAGGUUAACUGCUUACCCACUGUACAAGACACGUUACACACAGUCCAGGAGGCGGAGCUUCUGAGAUAUCUAGAAACAGCUUAGAGGCAAAAUGACAAAAUAAAGCAGCAACAACAAAUAAAACCAAUCUUCUCGCCUGGCAGCAUCUUUCUGCUGUGCUUAAUAGCGAAGGGUGAAUGCUUCAUUUUCUACCAAAACACGCCUUCCACGUGUGGGGAUCUCCAACGGGCGUCUGGAGCUCUUGGCUGGAGAGGCUGCCU